rnacentral:rRNA from 1 species
CUACGGGGUGCAGCAGUGAGGAAUAUUGGUCAAUGGGCGCGAGCCUGAACCAGCCAUCCCGCGUGCAGGAUGACGGCCCUAUGGGUUGUAAACUGCUUUUCUAUGCCAAGAAACCUGAUUACGUGUAAUCAGUUGCCGGUAGCAUAGGAAUAAGCAUCGGCUAACUCCGUGCCAGCAGCCGCGGUAAUACGGAGGAUGCAAGCGUUAUCCGGAUUCAUUGGGUUUAAAGGGUGCGCAGGUGGGCGUGUAAGUCAGUGGUGAAAUGCUGCCGCUUAACGGUAGAACUGCCAUUGAUACUGCGAGUCUUGAGUAUGGUUGAGGUAGGCGGAAUGUGUUGUGUAGCGGUGAAAUGCAUAGAUAUGACACAGAACGCCAAUUGCGAAGGCAGCUUACUAAGCCAUUACUGACGCUGAGGCACGAAAGCGUGGGGAGCGAACAGGAUUAGAUACCCCUGUAGUC